rnacentral:lncRNA from 1 species
AAUAAUAUGAUAUACCAAACAUAAUUAUUUUUGAAGUCAAAACAUGCAAAAGAAAUAUAGUAAACGAUCGACAAGAGAUAACAACACUUUACUCAUAAAUAAAACACCUUUUAUUCAUCAUCUAAUGUCAAUUACACUUUACAAAUUUUGAGGUUAUCUAACUACUAAAUCUAAUAUUAUCCUUCAGCCCUAUGCUCCGAGCAUGCUGGAGAUGCUUAACUCGAGUCAGUCCCUUCGUGAGGGGAUCUGCUGGAUUCUCAUCCGAUGAUACCCUCUUUGCCACCAGGAGUCCUUCUUCUAUUCAAUGUUUGAUGAAAUGGUAUUUUCUGUCAAUGUGUCUGGAUCUCCCGUGAUCCCUUGGUUCCUUGGCUAAGGCAACUGCACUUUCACUAUCAUAGAAAAUUUACAUUGGCUCCUUAAUGGCUGGUACAACUCCAAGGUCUCCAAUGAAUUUCUUUAGCCAUAUCGCCUCCUUAAUGGCUGGUACAGACUAUAAAUACAAUGGGAUUAAAAUACUCUGACCAAGAUUUUAUACUUUUAAAUUAUAAAAUAUUUAAGUAAGUAUACGUGCCUGCAUUCAUAAUAAAAUCAGUGUCACAAUGACAAGAACAAAAGUAUUACGAUUGCUGGAUAUCACAAGUAAGCUUGGGGAUGUAUGGUCAGUCUUGGGAGUGGCAUAGCCUGAUCAACUAUGUUGGUCUGAGGAGUGAUUAGCAUGUGCCCAAGAAUGGUUGUGAUGUGGCAAAAAGUCUAAAAACUUACCAACACCACCACUAAGAAAUACCAUAGGGGUAUUUGGUCUUACUGUAAUUACUUAUUUGAGAACUAAAUAGAUCUUUAUUAAUAUGUCAAUAGUUGUUUAGUGGAUACACUAAGUUUAUAUGUACUAUGAUGUCAUAGACUUAGAAUAUGUGAAUCUUUGCCUUAUGUCCUGUCCUCGUUGGGUUGGGGGCUUAGGGUUAGGGUCACUUAUUCGAAGGUCUAUCCUAUCCUAACUACAUAUAACUGGUAUGCACUAAACAAGUAUUGAAGCAACUGAUAAAGGUCAUCUUAUAAUUAUCUUAGUUAGUUCGUCUAUUUAGUUAUUUCUUAUAUCCUUUUUUAUCGCAUAGAUAUCAUGGUUGGAUUCCAUCCCCAUGACAACUCAUACUACCCUAACCACGGCAAUGCUGGAUGGCUCAGAGAGGAGCCAGAGAAUGAUCACCCAAUCCCUUCGAAUGAUCACUCAACUAAAUACUUUUCUAAUAGUUCUCGUCGCCGAUAGAAUCUCAUUGACUCCUCCUUCGGAUAUAACCUAGUUUAUGUAAAACUCUGGUCUAAUUUCCUAUCAUUGUGAACCUUGGGCCUAUUAGGUCUUGAUUUAGUCAUUGUACUGUCAAAACUUUCCCAUCAAUGGUUGAUGUAAGGCCUACCCCUAGGCCACUUUUCUAGAACAUGUUACAUCUAUAAGUCCAGUAUUUUUGACAGAUACCAAAUCGUAUGGACAUUAUUGUCCAAAUGCUUUCACCUUUCGAUACUAGAUCCUCAUUCAAACGUGUUAUUAAAUUGUGUUGUUGGACUAUGGAGAGUUAGUCUAUGAGUCACUCUCCUUAUUCAUUUUUCUUACCAUGUUGUCAUCUUUUAUUUGUAUAGUCAAAAGAUGCCGCCUCGCAGAAAUCCAAGGCGUAACACUAAUAACGAAACACCAAUGCCACCACCUCCUCCACCGCCUCAACCACCUCCUCCUUUUGACGCUGCCAUGUACCAAGUAGCCUUCAUGGCUGCAAUAGCAGUUUCCGUGUCAGCCAUCAAUGCUCCUGUCCCUAGUGGAUCGGGAACGAGUGCACCUCCUUCUCACCAUGGCGAGAGCCAUGGGUAUCCCAGGGAAUGCACCUAAAAGGAAUUUACAAAUGCUAAACCCCGAAACUUCAAUGGAACUGGUGGAGUUAUGGUCCUAAGGCAGUGGAUUGAAAAGAUAGAAGCAGUCUUUGAGAUCUGCGCCUGCCCGGAGGGCAACAAGGUCAAGUUUGCUACUUGUACCUUUUCUGACAGAGCGUUAACUUGGUGGAAUGGCCAUGUUAAGUCCCUGACUAUAAUAGUGGCAAAUUUGAUAAGUUGGGAAAACUUGAAUAUCAUGUUGAUGAGAGAGUACUGUCCCCGAGGGGAAGUUCAAAAGAUCAAACAAGAACUUUGGAAUCUGGAAAUGGUUGGUACCGAUAUAUCAACCUAUACGGGGAGAUUCUGUGAUCUGGCAAACCUGUGCCCGAAUAUGGUUGCUCCUGAGAGCAAGAAAUUAGAGAGGUAUAUUUGGGGAUUGUCUCCCCAAAUUCAGUCAAGUGUGUUAGCAUAAGGCCCGAUACGUUCGAUAGUGCCAAAGAACUAGCACAAUCUCUGAUUGACCACGGAAACCAUCGGAACUCAAAAAUUUCUGUACAAGAUCAACAAGAAGGAAAAAACAACAAGAACAAGUGGAAAGACGAGUCCUCACAAAGAUCCUCAAGGAAACAACAACAAGUUACAGUCAAUGCUACUACAGUACCUACGAUAGUCGCUACUAACCCAUUACCGGCAAAGCCAUACGUGGGUAAUCUCCCAAAGUGCAACAAAUGCAACUAUCACCACCAUGGACCUUGUCGAGAGAUGCAGUGCUUAAACUACAACAAAAAGGGACACACCUUACGUUAUUGCAAGAGUCCAGCAAGACCGAUCAACCAAGUACCCAACGCUGGUAUGAGCCAGGCUUGCUACGAUUGUGGCAAAGUGGGUCACUACAAAAGAAACUGCCCAGAGGCAGCGAAUGCUAGCACAGACGGAAGGAUGCUAACGAUCACCGCCGCCGGAGAGACUACUCCGGACCCACGUUAAAGUAAUUAAGGCGUUACGUUGUAACAGACUUAUAAACUGUUUAGAACUAGUGCAACUAGAGUCUUAUCUUUUGCGAGAUCCCGUCAAUUAAGGGAUCCUCGUGCUGCGUAUACUUGCCUAUUCUAGUAUACUUUGUUCGUAGCAGUAUUCCUGUAGUUACUCUAAGGUACUGUAACCCUGAUAAAAUUUGCACCGUUGUAUUUUGUCUGAACGCCUUAUGUUCAAAUCUAAUAUCUUUAGUUUCCAUAUGAUUCCGACAUUAUGAUACAACUAGAGUCCAUUCGAUCCUCACGAUGCCAGGUUCGUGCGUAAAUCUUUUUCCCGAAAUCAUCCUUCUAGCGAAACUGUCCCUUUUAGAACUUUGAAGUACUCAUGCGUAGAGUACCUCAUAUUUCUAAUCCUUUCCAAAGGAACCUCAGCAAACUUCCCUGAAGUAUCACUCGUACAGUACAUCAAGUUCAAAUCCAAAGAUCAGUACGGUUGAUCUAUCGCGGAAUAAUGUAUACACAGGGGUGGUAUAUAAUCAAGGUUCUACAGAUUUAGAAUUAAUGAUUCCCCUUUAACUUCUUUUCCUCGUCGGGAUGAGAGCGUAAAGAAGAAUCAUUUAUUCGACUAUCUUUUCAAUCUUAAUUAUUUACGACUCGUAUAUAUGAGACUUUGAUUGAUGAACCAUGUAUGAAUUCUUAAUGUGAACUUCAGGACGGAGACUACCCAAGACUACGAGUAAUCGCAUCAUCAUGCGAACAAACUUAGAACCCAGUACGACUCCUGUAACCAGAAUCGGCCCUGUAACUCAUAAACUCAAUCUACUUCGUGGGCUUAGAAACGUACAUUCUACCCUUCACGUCUCGAACUUGUAAAAAGUAUCGAUCCGAAGAGACUCUUGAAAUCCCACUCGAAGAGAUCGAGUCCCACAAGAGCCUCACCUGCGUGGAAGAAUCGUAGUGACCAUGGACCGAGAGGUCAUGCAAACGAUUCAUAGUCGUUUCCCUUUAGUGAAGGUUUGCUGAGAUGCCAACAAGGGACCCGAAUUCACUUGGGAGCGCGAGAAUCAAUCGAUUAGGAAGUAUCCCCACUUCUUGGCUCGAUUAUUCAUGCCUACUUCCUUACCUAAAUUCUAAUUUCGUGACGAAAUUCCUUCUAACGGGGGGAUGAUGUGACAACCCGAAAUUUCUAUUCUGUACAACCCUUCAAUUCAAUAGAAGUCAGAAAAUUUGCUGCUAAGUUUCAAACUUUUUGGAACAAGUUUGAGUAAUUUAGGGUAUACACUUUGGGUGAUAUCAGGAGAGAGAAUGCCCUAAUAUUUAUUGUGCAACACUGUUAUUCCAGAACUCCAAGAAAUUUGAGUUUACUACCAGAAUAAUAUUUUUAGCCAAAAACCCUAAAUUUGGGCGUGUNUUUAGUCAAAGAUAUAUAUAUAUAUAUAUAUAUAUAUAUAUAUAUAUGAAUUAGUCAUUAUUUACAUUUUCAAAAUCUCAAGAUCCAAACCCAUUUCUCUCUCAAGUAUCAUCCAAAAGUUUUUCAAGAUCUUCAAUCUAGUAAGUGUUUCUAGCCUUCUUAAGUUGUUAUAUGACUUAAUCUAGUGUUUUAACACACUUCUAACCGUGAAAUCAUUCAAAAAGGGUCAAUCUUCAAUUUACACCAAGAACAACAAGAACACACACUUGUGUUCUUGGCCUUUUGGACCUUUUCGAGCUUCUACCUUGUAAGUGCUUCUAUCCUAGAGUCAUACAAUCUAUGUUACACUUCGAUACCUCAAGAAAUCAUCCAAGAACACCAAGAUCAAAGGUGUUUACGGUCCAAGAACAUCUUGGACCGUAAACCCUAUUUAGGGUACCAAUGUGUGCUCUAGCUUAUCCUAAGCCUUGGUAAUUAGUUUAGACCCCUUCCUUGAUGUGUUUACCACACAAAAAUCACCAAAAUAUCUCAUUUAUAUGUGUUUACGGUUUGGGGAUCUCCCAAAACCGUAAACACCCCAAAAUGUGUUAUGAUGACCCAUAUUCCUUCCUUAUGCCUAGAAUAAAACCUAGACUUUUACCUUGAAGUGUUUAGGACUUGAAAACAUCAAAAUAACAUAGUCCAUAGGAGUUUACAGCAGCAAACACAUGGAGAAAUGGGUCAUGGGCCGUAAACUCCAUUUAGGAGUGAAUUGUUGCCCUAAUCACUUCCUAAGGCUUAGACUUGGAGUCAGGAUGCUUCAAAAUUUCUUUUAGGACUUCAAAUCAACAAAUGGUCAAAAGGUUAUGAGCUUACGGCUGUAAACUCAAGGGUUUACGACCGUAAACUCAAUGAGUUAUGGUCUUAAAGGCGUAAACUCAUGAAAGGGGUUCUUUUGAACCCUAAACUCAAUGGUCUUGUCCUACAACACUUAGAUGCACUCCUUAGCACUUAUAACACUUAUAUAAAGUGUUUAUCAUGUCCUAGGAUGUCUUAACUUUGUUAAUUAGUUGUUUAAAGACUAAUUGGAUACAUAUAUAUACUACUAUAUGUUAACUAGGAUCCUUGUGUGUGUACAAGUCUUCACUUGACACUUAGCAUCCUAUGUCAGUCAAUUCAUCCAAACCAUCAACUACAGGUGAGUUCAUACCCCUUAAUCAAUGUUUUAAAUGUUUUUAAAUGCUUUUAUGGGGGGAAUACAAGUUGAAUCAUGCUAGUUAUUAUAUCAAUCACAUGUGAUUAAUAACUAACAUGCAAAUGGAUUUACUAUAUGUUAGCUGUUUUACAAAACAGAUUUCUUCCAAUGUUUCAUUUAAACGUUUUUAUAUGUUUAAAACUCUUUCUCAAACUGCUUUAUACACUGUAUGUUUCUUUUCAAACUCUAUUACAAAUGUAUUUCAAACAAAGGUUUUCUUUAUACUUAAACUGUUUAUUCAAACAAAAUACUUUCAAACCGUUUUAUAAAUUGACAUCAAGUCGAUCUUUUCUUAGAUAUAAAUCUUAUUCAAAGGUUUUACAAAACUCCUUUUAUGCUUUUAUAUUAUCAAAUGCAUGCCCAUAUAUGUAUAGUUAUAUAAGUAAUGUUUAAAGGACUUAGGAAGGCUAACUCACCCUAUUUCCUUUUCCUCGUUGGGAUGUGGCUACGGGGUAUCGGUUAUCCGUCUGAAUGUCGUCUAAGUGUUAGUUAUAUAUCAUGUAUACAUAUGUAGACAUAAAAGUGCCCUCAUUCAGUUCAAUACCUUUGGCUAGCAAAGGUAUACCUUCGUUGAUACUUAUACAUUACUAGUAACUAUUAUAGGUAUAGUUAGGAGAUACUACUUGCUAUUCCUAUUACAAGGAAUUACACCAGAGUCAGUUCAUACAUGAGUCUAUACUAGAUGCUAUAUGAAGAGAUACACUACAUGGAUACACUUACUUGAAUACACUUACAUGGAUACCUUUACAUAGAUACCUAGUUAAAAGCAUGUGUGUAUAUGUAUAGUUAUAUAAGUAAUGUUUAAAGGACUUAGGAAGGCUAACCUGCUUUAUUUCCUUUUCCUCGUUGGGAUGUGGUCUGUUAGGGUAUCGGGUAUCUGUCUGAAGGUUGUUUAAAUAUUUAGUUAUAUAUCAUCUGUACAUAUAUGGACACAAUAGUUCUGGUUAGUCAGUUCAAUACCUUUGGGUAACAAAGGUAUACGUUCAUAUAUCCCUAGUAAGCUAUUAUAGGUAUAGUUUGGGCUUAUAUAUGAUUUGGUAACAAAUAUGGAUUUCGACCUAGCGAUUCGUUGCGAAAGUCACCAUUAGUUCCAAAUGUAGAAUAGGGACUACCAAUCAUAUUAUUACUAAGACUACUUACUAACUAGACGGGACUAACCAUUCCGGCACCCAACUGUUAGCAACAGAGGUAAUGAACAUCUACGGAUGCCUACAGUUAAUACUUAUACUAGGGUACCUUUACGGGACUAACCAUUCCUACAACUUGUUGUUAGCUACAAAGGAUAAUGAUCAUCUACGGACGUUCAAGGUUAAUACCAUUUCGGCAGUCGCGAUGUCGGGUUGAUCCUAAUACAAAAGGAUAACACUUACAUGGAUUUAUUUUCCUAUUACUUUUAUUUUGUGAUACAUUCUCAUAAACGACGAGGUAGACUAUAUAUAUUGUUAAUAGUAGUCAUACAAGGGAAAAACCAUCUUCGUUACUUACAAAACAGUCUAGUCUUGGUAGAAGACUACUCUUUAUACUAAUAGAAAUCAUAGGGAUUUGCUAGAGUAUUCAAACGUUUUCAAACUACUUUCAAACAGUUCUUACUUAUACGAACUUUUUCCAAAUGUUCACAAGUCUUUACUUUCCAGUUUUACAAAUCUAAGACACAUUAAUACUUAUGAAUUCACCAGCUUUAUUGCUGAUACUCGCUUUCAAAAUACUUGUAUUCUCAGGUCACAAAUAGACAGGUACGACAACCAGGUUUUGUGAAGACGGAGAAAUCAAGACUCCUAUUUUAUUUUGAUUGUUCAUUAUGUUGGCUUAUGCUAUGAAAGAACACACUUGUAACUAAAAUUAUACUAUUAAUGCAAUGUAUGAUGUUGUUGCUUGUUUACUACUUUGCAUUGUUAUGAUACAUUACAUGACGUCCUCCGCCCCAGAACGUUUCCAUCGUUCCGGUUUUGGUGUGUGACAAUGAGAGGUCAUGGAGCACGACCCAUCGUUCUGUUACAAUAGAUAAAGGAAAGUAAUUAUCCUAAGAAGAAGAAGGAGUCCUUAAUAAGGAUUUAUUUUGUAACUUGAAGGUUACGAUUGAAAGUACAACAUGGUAACAAAAGCAUAUGCAAGAUUGAGCAUCGUCUGCAGUCAAGAAGCGCUAGAGUUAAAUACUCUUUCGAGGAAACAUAGAAGUUACGGUUAUUACCUAGGAUGAAGAAAUAAUGUGUGGAAUCAUUAUGCAAGUCCCAUUUUGUUAAUGAUUCCGGGACGUAAUCAUCCUAAGGGGGAGAUAAUUGUAACGCCCGUAGAUCAGGGCUAGUCAAUUUAGAGACGUUAAGCGUAAAAAAAAAUGACUUUUUGAUAGAAGAUUAUUUAGAAUGAAUAAUCUUAACUAAGUUGUAUAUGUUACAAGGAUUCCGUACAUAUAAAGAACAUUGAAAUCCGAGUUAUAACGAAGAAGUUAUGAUCUGUCGAAGUUUCGCGACAGAACUAGGACAACGCUGAAUGACGUAAAAAGUGAAUUUACGUUAGAGUGAUAUUUAGCCCUAGUGAUCUAAACGAAUGUUAUAGAGUUCGUUAAACAGAGAGUGUGCAUAAAAAGAAUGCCCAAAUCUGACUUCGUAUGAGGAAGUUAUGAUUUUUCUAAGUUUUAGCUUAGCAGUAUGCAGCCCGAAACUUGAAUUCGAGAUCGAGAGAUUGUUGGUCGAGACAAUCUAAACGAGAAUCGAAGAUCUCAUUGAUAGUAGUGCAUUGGUGAAAAGAUAGACGAUAACGGACGUCAAAUGAAAAAGUUAUGAAUUUAUAACGGAGUUUUCCUGUCCGGACCUACUAAAAUAAUAUAAUAAAAAUAAAAGUCAAAAUUAGCCGACGAAGUCUAAACGAAAGUUGUAGAGCGUAGUCUCACCUACGCGUGGAUAUAAAGAACAUCGAAAACGAAUUUCGUAUGAGGCAGAUAUGAAUUUUUGAAGUUUAUUGAAUAAUUAAAGUAUUUAAUUUAAAUAUAAAUUCGGAUAUUAUCUGAAGGAGGGGAGGAGUCAUCGAUCCGAUCCGAACUACGACCAGCGUACCCCGAUGCAUGAACCACUCGAGUGUUCCGCGUUCAUAAGAGAUGACGACUUCGGUCUGAUCCGAACUACGCCGCGCGUACCAGAGCAUUACGCCCAGCGUAACGCGAGGAAUCAAACCCUAUAAAAGGGCAUGCGAGGCUGCCGAUUUCUUUUGCCAAAAUUCUUUCUUUCUCUCCCCAAGUUUCCUCAUUUUGCGUGCAACUUAUACCCCGAAGCCCCAGUAUUAAUCCCGAGACCCGAAGCAAGUCCUGAAGCCCCGAAGAUCCCGAGAAAAAUAGUUUGCGAGCCGAAGCUCUACCCAUGAGGAGCCCGAUUUUUGUGAAGAUCUUCCAAAUCUACUAAAGAACACUACUUCUACAAGCCGUAGUGUUGUCCGAUCAUCUUCUGAUCAGGUGAGUGUGUGGUCACUUUCUUCGAACACAUAAAUAUGAAGUAUUUUAUUGAAAUACAUGAUAUGUGUUUAUGUAUUGUUGUUUAUUUGAGAUAAGUGUGGAAUGGAUGUUUUAUAUGGUUUUUAAAUGAGUUAAAUUGUAUAUGUAUUUUAUACUACUAAUAUGUUGGGUAGAACAUGAGUAGAUGAGAUAGUUGGUAUGUGAUAAAACGAUGAGGUAAUGAUGAGGUAUGUAAGAUGAUUAAAGAAUAAUAUUGGUAGAUGCACCAAUUAGAGAAUGUCAUAAUACUAGCAGAUGCGCUUAAGAAUAAUAUUGAUAAAUGCACCAAAUAGAGAAUGUCAUAAUACUAGCAGAUGCGCUUAUAUGAUAAUACUAGCAGAUGCGCUUAAAGGAUAAUGUUGGCAGAUGCGCCUUCUGUAGCAAUGGAAGUUUGUGCUAAUUCCUUAGGUCAAUCCUUAGGAAUAAAUGAAGGAAGGAUAGUUGAUUAAUAGGGUAAAACCUUGAGAAAUAAAGAAGAUAAUGGGGACGGGUAAUUGGGUUGAUUGUUUGAUGAUUAAAUAUAAUAAUUAUAUUAUUGUGGGUCGAAAACCCUAUAUGCUCACCAGGCUCCCAAGCCUGACCCACUCAGUUUUCUUUGCAUUACAGGUAAUGGCACAAGAGUAUAAGUUGGUGGACUUGACGAGAGAUUUUGUAUUAUAGAUCAGUAGUUAUAAAUGACUGUUGUAAGGUCUAUUUUUACUGUUUGUGCUUUUGGUCUGUAUCAGAACAUGACAUCCCGAGCUUUUGUUAUUUAAUGAAAAUACAUUUCUUUAAAUAAAUGCUUCGAUAAAUUUUUAUCACAUUUUGUUUUGGGAACAAAUUCCGCAACUAUUUUCUUUAAAAGAUUACUCUGAUUUUAAAAACAAGCAUAAACAAAUCGGUCUUUUUUUGCCGUGAAAUUGGGGAUGUCACAGUUUGUUUAACUGUGAAUGUGAGGUGAGUCUUCUCACUAUACUAUAUGGGGUGGCAAGUGUAUAAAAGACCAUGGGGGUAGCCUAUGGCAAUUGUAUGAAAGACCAUGGGGGUAGCCCAUGACACUUGUAUGUAAGACCUGGAUUUUCCCCUCGACAUUGCAAGGAAAGACCAUGGGGAUAGCCUAUGACACUUGGAUGUAAAACCAUGGGGGUAGCCCAUGGCAUUUCAGGGAAAGACCAUGGGGGUAAUCCGUGGAAAAUGUAUGUAUUGUAUGUGGUAUUUUGGGGAACUCACUAAGAUUUAUGCUUACAGUUUAUGUUUCAAAUGUUUCAGGUAUUUCUGGUUCCAAUGAGAAGGGCCUGACAUUAUUGCAUUGCAUCCACUGGAGAUUCCACAUUUAUGAUUUUGUUAUUACCCUGAUGUUAUUUUGAUACAAUUUUCGAUACUCUUACUAUCUUUCGAAAGUAAUGAGUGAAUGGUUUGUGUAUUUUAAAAACAAAAAUUUACUUAGUAUUUUUGGGAUGUUACACUAUAUUUAGGAAUAACAACCUCAGAUAAGCAUUUAUUUUCUUUUUUAUAUAUACUAAAUUUAUGGUAAACGAUUGCGCCCUAAUCAAGUACAAUCAUAAAGAUACCAUCUAUAUCCUACAUAACUUAGGAGGGCUUUGUUGAUUUUUCUCAAGAAGUGCCUUUCUAUGCUAAAUGCUACUUCAUUGUUGAAUUUUUAGGUCCUAGGUGUAAGUAGUUUACCUUAAAACUACAAAUUACUGAAGAUCCUUUCACAAUCGAAUGACACCUUGAAAAAUAAAGGCUAAUAUAAGGCGGUUAUUCCUAAAUAGAGCUCCAUUAUACGCACUGUGUGGCCUAGAUAUGAAUUUCUUACAACAAAUCAACAAAAGCUCUAUUAAUUGUAUUUAGCAUGUAUUUUUAUAACUAUACUUGCUAUUGUAUUAGUGUAACAACUAUAGUGAUUAUAAAAACACAUGCUAAAUACAAUUAAUAGGAUUCAUGUUGAUUUGAUGUAAGGAAAGCAUUUCUAGGCCACAUAUAUCAUAGGCCUCUAUUUAGAAAUUGUAUUUAGAUGGUAUCUUUAUGAUUAUGGUAAUGAUAUUUAUUAAAAAGAAUCAUGAAAGAUACCAAAAAUGAUAUAUAAAAUUAUAAAUUAUCAGUAUUAUGUUUUUUAAUAAAAAUGUGAGUUUUUAGUGAAAGGGAGGUAGAUGGUGUUGUUAUUUUAUGUGUUAAUUAAUCAGACGAUACUUGCAAGACUCAAAACAAAUCCGAUGCCACUUGCCAAGUUUUGAUGACCCGUUUUAGGAAGUAAUGUUGAUAAUAUAAACACACAAAACCGAAAUCACACAAAGACAUAACAUUUAUAAGGUUCGGUCAAGGUGACCUACGUCCAUGGGUAGGAGGGGAGUAUUCUUUAUUCAUGGAGUUAUCAAACAGAGAUUAUAAGUACAACUCAAUAUAGAUUUGUCCUAAUCGCUAAGGAUAUAAGACACACCCAAAUGGAUAACAUGCAUCUUUAUUUAUAGUGAAUGGAUUAGACCUAAAAUCCUAAUGGUACAGGCCCAUUGGCCCAUAGGCCCAUGAAUGGUGUCAACCAAUCGCGGUUUGCUAUGUAGUAGCUUCUAGAACAUCCAUCCUUGAUUUCCAUUGCAUGAUCAUCAGCAACACACAUGAUGGAGCAUCAUGAUCCAUAGUGGCUCAUCAUGAUGCAAGAGUGUCAAAUCAAGAUCACCAUGGAUCAUCAAUCAUCAUUAGGGAACAUCAAGCAAUAAUUCUAAAGCAUCUUCAACAUCUAGGUAGCCUUAAACAAUCUUGAGCAUCAUAGAGGACUCUAUAGCAUGUCUAUCUCAUCAAGGGAUACCAUUUCUCAUCAGGAACAUAUAUAGCACGCCAUGAACAUGUGUGGCACAUCAAGCCACCUAAUGGUGCAUCAUGAUGCACAAGUGGUGCAUCAUGAUCAUUAGUAGCACAUCCAUGCUUCAACAACACAUCAAAACUUUAGAGUACUCAUGGCACACUAGAUUGGUACACCUUUUACCAAGUUAGCGUACCAUGUGCAUGAAUGGCGCACCUUGUGCCUAAGGUGGCGCAUCUUCCUUAAUUAUGGCACAUCUAGCUUCAAGGUCACACAUCCUCCUACAAAAGUGGUGAAUAUCCUUCUCAUGUUCACACCUUGCUACCGAAUGGAGAACCAUACUAUCUAAUGGUGCACCAUGCCUCCUAAGUGUUGCAUUUAUGCCUAGAUUGAUGCAUCUUGAGCAUAAUGAUGGGUUUUGAGCAUUCUAACACUUCCUAAGUGUACAUGCAACCCUAAUAACCUUGGAUCUAUGUUUGUCUAAAUACAUGCAAAAUUUGGUUUCCAAGGUUCAUAAUCCUAUCUAGCAUACAUGGGGAACUUUAAUCCUAAAAGGAUGGCUAGAAUUACAUACCUUGUAGUUGAUUUUGAUUCCUUGAAACCUUGUGAGCCUAGCACCCCAAGUGUGAUGCCUCAAAUGCUUCACACAACACCAAAUGCUUUUGGAACGACUUUAGAGAGAAUGCACACACUCUAAAAUCGGCCUAGCCCUCACUUGUUCUAGUGUAGCAGAUUUUGGUGGAUAGUAUGUUCCUUAUAUAGUGUUGACACAUCUAGGGUUACACCAUGUAAACCCUAAUGUGUCAAGGCUCUUCAUUUCCAUGACCCAUGGGUUUGUAACUCCCAUGGAGCAUCCUAUGGGUUUAACCCAACUUGAUAAUCCAUGGAGCCUCUUAGCCUACUAUACAAAUUAUGGAUGAUUUACAUAAUCAACCCAUAUAUUUAAUUAGUUAUCUUUUGAUCACUUAAUUAAUUCCAAAUUAAUUCUUGAUCAUACUAAUUAAAUAAUACUAUUAAUAUAUUAGAACUUAUAAUAUAUUAAUAAACCACAAGUGUUAUUUCUCUCAUUUAGUCUAUCCAAAUGCAUGGUGCCAUGCAACCCAAAUGGGCCAUGUCGGGUCGGGUCAAGUACAUACCAGAAAUAGUUAUGGACUUAGACACCUUAUCCAACAGUCUCCCACUUGGAUAAGUCUAAUAAGUAUAACUGCAAGUAUGACUUCAGGAACCGAUCAGAAAUCGUAGCUCUUUCAAGGUCUCUUGGAACUGAGAAGAUGAUGAUACGCCAUUUAAGAUAAGUGAUCAUAUAAUCCUCUGUUCUAGAUAUCAGCCGAAAAAAUACAUGGAACAAUGUCUUACUUAUUGUCCAGCAGUGUGUUUCCCGAUUUCCAAUUUGUUUGACAAAUAACUUAAUUGAACACAUCAACUUAGUUCUGACCGGGCCUGGUACAUAGGUUAAAACAAAAUCAUCGAGGGGCCCAUAUAUCAGCUUCUAAUCCAAUAAGGAACAGAUAAACUACGAGUCAUAUGUUUGCUCUACUACUUGUUGUAUCAUACACAAAAGCACAUUUUAUAACAUCGAGUUACCAAUGCGUUUUCGUACAAUCAAUGCAUAAACAAAACAUAAGUAACAANNNNNNNNNNNNNNNNNNNNNNNNNNNNNNNNNNNNNNNNNNNNNNNNNNNNNNNNNNNNNNNNNNNNNNNNNNNNNNNNNNNNNNNNNNNNNNNNNNNNNNNNNNNNNNNNNNNNNNNNNNNNNNNNNNNNNNNNNNNNNNNNNNNNNNNNNNNNNNNNNNNNNNNNNNNNNNNNNNNNNNNNNNNNNNNNNNNNNNNNNNNNNNNNNNNNNNNNNNNNNNNNNNNNNNNNNNNNNNNNNNNNNNNNNNNNNNNNNNNNNNNNNNNNNNNNNNNNNNNNNNNNNNNNNNNNNNNNNNNNNNNNNNNNNNNNNNNNNNNNNNNNNNNNNNNNNNNNNNNNNNNNNNNNNNNNNNNNNNAGGUUAUCUAACUUCUAAAUCUAAUAUCAUCCUUCAGCCCUAUGCUCCGAGCAUGUUGGAGAUGCUUAACCCGAGUCAGUCCCUUCGUGAGGGGAUCUGCUGGAUUCUCAUCCGAUGAUACCCUCUUUGCCAC